rnacentral:lncRNA from 1 species
CUACUGGCCUUCAACACCACGGAGAGAGAGCUGAGAAGUGAGCUGUCUUCCAACUCACCUGCAUAGGUGGAAGUCUUCCCAGAUGCUGUGCUUGAAUCUCUAAUUUGAUAUAUUUACAAGACUUGCAGAGGCUGUGAGCUGUGUGAAUACAUUGCACAUAAGAACUACAGAUGUUUUAAAGCCUUCUGUGAAAGUGAUUCUGAAGGUGUGGUCCCUGGGCCAGCAGCAUCAACAUCACCUGGAACUUGUGAGAAAUGAAGAUUCUCAGGCUCUUCUCUAUACCUACUGAAUCAGACAUUGGGUGCAAAGGGGAACACUACAGUCUGUCUUUAAGGAGCCCUCAAGGGGUUUGGAGUGCAGGAGCUUACAGUAGAAAUCACCA